rnacentral:rRNA from 1 species
AUACGUAGGUGGCGAGCGUUGUCCGGAAUUACUGGGUGUAAAGGGCGUGUAGGCGGGGCGUCAAGUCAGGUGUGAAACUCCGAGGCUUAACUUCGGGUGUGCAUCUGAAACUGAUAUUCUUGAGUGUCGGAGAGGAAAGUGGAAUUCCCAGUGUAGCGGUGAAAUGCGUAGAGAUUGGGAGGAACACCAGUGGCGAAGGCGGCUUUCUGGACGAUAACUGACGCUGAGGCGCGAAAGCGUGGGUAGCAAACAGGAUUAGAUACCCUGGUAGUCCACGCCGUAAACGAUGGAUACUAGGUGUAGGAGGUAUCGACCCCUUCUGUGCCGGAGUUAACACAAUAAGUACCCCGCCUGGGGAGUACGGCCGCAAGGUUGAA